rnacentral:rRNA from 1 species
GUGGGGAAUCUUAGACAAUGGGGGCAACCCUGAUCUAGCCAUGCCGCGUGAGUGAUGAAGGCCUUAGGGUCGUAAAGCUCUUUCGCUGGGGAAGAUAAUGACGGUACCCAGUAAAGAAACCCCGGCUAACUCCGUGCCAGCAGCCGCGGUAAUACGGAGGGGGUUAGCGUUGUUCGGAAUUACUGGGCGUAAAGCGCGCGUAGGCGGAUUGGAAAGUUGGGGGUGAAAUCCCGGGGCUCAACCCUGGAAUGGCCUUCAAAACUCCCAGUCUUGAGGUCGAGAGAGGUGAGUGGAAUUCCGAGUGUAGAGGUGAAAUUCGUAGAUAUUCGGAGGAACACCAGUGGCGAAGGCGGCUCACUGGCUCGAUACUGACGCUCAUGCACGAAAGCGUGGGGAGCAAACAGGAUUAGAAACCCUUGUAGUCC